AGUGAACAAACCUCAACUGUGUCCGACCUUUUGAGUAGCUGCAAGCUAGUCAUCCCCACCCCUGUCUCCACCUGCGACGCGUCGCUCCGGGCCACCGGGAAGCUGCAGUCGCCCCUCCAACUUCUCUCAGGUACUGGUCUCGACGGACUUCUUGGGAACAAAAGCUUGCUCGGUGACAUUUUCGGUAAAGGCGGAUUGCUCGGUGGAAUUCUGGGAGGUGAUGGCCUUCUUGGUGGAAUUCUUGGCCCGUCCAAGUACACCGUCGCUGGGAACUGAGAAAGAAGACAGC
rnacentral:lncRNA from 1 species